GGUUGUAGCUCAGCGGCAGAGCAUCUGCUGUGUGUGCAGAAGGUCUCGGGUUCAAUCCCCAAUGGCAUCC